AUUUGUAUUGUUUCUUAAUCUUAUAGUAAAUAUGCAAGGCCCAGAAACGCUUGCAAAGCCAACAAACUGAUACAGAACGGGGUUCUGUUGGGGUUCUUUUGGCUUUGCAAGCGCUUUUGGAGCCUUGUGUUCGGUUUGGUGCAAAGAGCGGACCCAGAAUCUGAGGCAUCAUCUACAGCUACUGAUUAGAGCUGGAAAAACCUUGAGGUAACAUCGAUAAUAUAGAUGUUGCCAAAAAUGUUGCAACAUCGACAUUCGUUACUUGCAACCGGGUAAAAGAGGAAGCAUCAACGCGUGGUAAGAGUAAUUGGUGGUGUUGGCAGGCAUCGUGUGAGAAUUAUGGACACAUUUUUUUGAAAAACAGUUCAUAAAUUAACAUUUUUGUCACCAUCGGCGUUUUCGGAACCACUGGAGUACGAAAUAGUGCAUACUUUUAAGGCUGAUCAUUCAAAGAACAUAAGAAAUCAAGAAAGCUGCUACGUUUCAAAAAAUUCCGGAUAUGAUGUUCUUUCUACCCAAGUUGCAAGUUAUUUAUUGAUGGAAUAUUUAAAUUAGAAAUAAAUAAAUUAUUAAUGGAAUACACAACCUUAA